AGAGUUUGAUUAUGGCUCAGGAUGAACGCUGGCGGCAUGCCUAACACAUGCAAGUCGAACGGGGUUUAUAUGACAGAACUCUCCGGAGGGAAGAUAUAUAAACCUAGUGGCGGACGGGUGAGUAACGCGUGGGCAACCUGCCCUGUACCGGGGGACAACAGCCAGAAAUGGCUGCUAAUACCGCAUAAGCCUGCUGUGCCGCAUGGCACAGCAGGGAAAACCACGGUGGUACAGGAUGGGCCCGCGUCUGAUUAGUUAGUUGGCAGGGUAACGGCCUACCAAGACAACGAUCAGUAGCCGGCUUGAGAGAGUGGACGGCCACAUUGGGACUGAGACACGGCCCAGACUCCUGCGGGAGGCAGCAGUGGGGAAUAUUGCACAAUGGGGGGAACCCUGAUGCAGCAAUGCCGUGUGGGUGAAGAAGCACUCCGGUGCGUAAAGCCCUGUCAGCAGGGAAGAAAAUGACAGUACCUGGACAAGAAGCCCCGGCUAACUACGUGCCAGCAGCCGCGGUAAUACGUAGGGGGCAAGCGUUAUCCGGAUUUACUGGGUGUAAAGGGAGCGCAGGCGGCGUGGCAAGUCAGAUGUGAAAACCCGGGGCCCAACCCCGGGAGUGCAUUUGAAACUGCCAUGCUGGAGUGCCGGAGAGGUAAGCGGAAUUCCUAGUGUAGC
rnacentral:rRNA from 1 species